CAAGGAUACUCUCUGUCAGACACACUCUUAAGCACAUACACAGGUAGACAGUGCCUCAAUGUGUAUAUGUGACACUUUUUUGUUAGUGGGGCCUCAUGUUUGAGUUUCGCCUAAGGCCUGAUGAAGUCUAGAGCCGCCUCUGGUUGUGUGUAUGGGAGAGUGCAUUGUGUUUAUUGAAAAACUGUGUUUCAUGACUGUGUGUGUAUGAUGAAUGUCUUUAGCGGGUCACGGAGACAGGUUGAGUAAAGUAUAAC